AUUGAACGCUGGCGGCAGGCCUAACACAUGCAAGUCGAGCGGUAGAGAGGUGCUUGCACCUCUUGAGAGCGGCGGACGGGUGAGUAAUGCCUAGGAAUCUGCCUGGUAGUGGGGGAUAACGCUCGGAAACGGACGCUAAUACCGCAUACGUCCUACGGGAGAAAGCAGGGGACCUUCGGGCCUUGCGCUAUCAGAUGAGCCUAGGUCGGAUUAGCUAGUUGGUGAGGUAAUGGCUCACCAAGGCGACGAUCCGUAACUGGUCUGAGAGGAUGAUCAGUCACACUGGAACUGAGACACGGUCCAGACUCCUACGGGAGGCAGCAGUGGGGAAUAUUGGACAAUGGGCGAAAGCCUGAUCCAGCCAUGCCGCGUGUGUGAAGAAGGUCUUCGGAUUGUAAAGCACUUUAAGUUGGGAGGAAGGGUCGUUACCUAAUACGUGACGAUUUUGACGUUACCGACAGAAUAAGCACCGGCUAACUCUGUGCCAGCCGCCGCGGUAAGAC
rnacentral:rRNA from 1 species